rnacentral:rRNA from 1 species
UACGGAGGGGGCUAGCGUUGUCCGAAGUUACUGGGCGUAAAGCGCGCGUAGGCGGGUCGGUAAGUCCGCUGUGAAAGCCCGGAGCUCAACUCCGGAGGGUCGGUGGAUACUGCCAGUCUUGAAGGUGCUAGGGGGAGAUGGAAUUACCGGUGUAGCGGUGAAAUGCGUAGAUAUCGGUAGGAACACCAGUGGCGAAGGCGGUCUCCUGGGGCAUUCUUGACGCUGAGGCGCGAAAGCUGGGGGAGCGAACGGG